rnacentral:rRNA from 1 species
UACAGAGGGGGGCAAGCGUUGUUCGGAAUUACUGGGCGUAAAGGGCGCGUAGGCGGCCUUCUAAGUCGAACGUGAAAUCCCCGGGCUCAACCCGGGAACUGCGUCCGAUACUGGAAGGCUUGAAUCCGGGGAGAGGGAUGCGGAAUUCCAGGUGUAGCGGUGAAAUGCGUAGAUAUCUGGAGGAACACCAAUGGCGAAGGCAGCUCGCUGGGACGGUACUGACGCUGAGGCGCGAAAGCGUGGGGAGCAAACAGG